rnacentral:rRNA from 1 species
GAUGAACGCUGGCGGCGUGCCUAAUACAUGCAAGUCGAGCGAACGGACGAGAAGCUUGCUUCUCUGAUGUUAGCGGCGGACGGGUGAGUAACACGUGGAUAACCUACCUAUAAGACUGGGAUAACUUCGGGAAACCGUAGCUAAUACCGGAUAAUAUUUUGAACCGCAUGGUUCAAAAGUGAAAGACAGUCUUGCUGUCACUUAUAGAUGGAUCCGCGCUGCAUUAGCUAGUUGGUAAGGUAACGGCUUACCAAGGCAACGAUGCAUAGCCGACCUGAGAGGGUGAUCGGCCACACUGGAACUGAGACACGGUCCAGACUCCUACGGGAGGCAGCAGUAGGGAAUCUUCCGCAAUGGGCGAAAGCCUGACGGAGCAACGCCGCGUGAGUGAUGAAGGUCUUCGGAUCGUAAAACUCUGUUAUUAGGGAAGAACAUAUGUGUAAGUAACUGCGCACAUCUUGACGGUACCUAAUCAGAAAGCCACGGCUAACUACGUG